rnacentral:rRNA from 1 species
ACGGAAGGCAGCGGUGGGGAAUAUUGCACAAUGGGCGCAAGCCUGAUGCAGCGACGCCGCGUGAGUGAAGAAGUAUUUCGGUAUGUAAAGCCCUAUCAGCAGGGAAGAUAAUGACAGUACCUGACUAAGAAGCUCCGGCUAAAUACGUGCCAGCAGCCGCGGUAAUACGUAUGGAGCAAGCGUUAUCCGGAUUUACUGGGUGUAAAGGGAGCGUAGGUGGUGUGGCAAGUCAGAUGUGAAAGCCCGGGGCUUAACCUCGGGACUGCAUUUGAAACUGCCAUACUAGAGUGCAGGAGAGGUAAGUGGAAUUCCUAGUGUAGCGGUGAAAUGCGUAGAUAUUAGGAGGAACACCAGUGGCGAAGGCGGCUUACUGGACUGUAACUGACACUGAGGCUCGAAAGCGUGGGGAGCAAACAGGAUUAGAUACCCUGGUA